rnacentral:rRNA from 1 species
CUGGCGGCGUGCUUAACACAUGCAAGUCGAAACGGUGAAGCACCUUCCUUUUGGUUGGGCGUGGAUGAGUGGCGAACGGGUGAGUAACACGUGAGUAACCUGCCCCCUUCUUCUGGAUAACCGCGUGAAAGUGUGGCUAAUACGGGAUAUUCUGUGCCUGCUGCAUGGUGGGUGUGGGAAAGAUGCGCCUUUGGGUGUUUUUGGUGGGGGAUGGGCUCGCGGCCUAUCAGCUUGUUGGUGGGGUGAUGGCCUACCAAGGCGGUGACGGGUAGCCGGCCUGAGAGGGUGGACGGUCACACUGGGACUGAGACACGGCCCAGACUCCUACGGGAGGCAGCAGUGGGGAAUAUUGCACAAUGGGCGCAAGCCUGAUGCAGCGACGCCGCGUGAGGGAUGGAGGCCUUCGGGUUGUAAACCUCUUUCGCCAGUGAAGCAGGCCUGUCCCUUGUGGUUGGGUUGACGGUAGCUGGAUAAGAAGCGCCGGCUAACUACGUGCCAGCAGCCGCGGUAAUACGUAGGGCGCGAGCGUUGUCCGGAAUUAUUGGGCGUAAAGAGCUCGUAGGCGGCUGGUCGCGUCUGUCGUGAAAUCCUCUGGCUUAACUGGGGGCUUGCGGUGGGUACGGGCCGGCUUGAGUGCGGUAGGGGAGACUGGAACUCCUGGUGUAGCGGUGGAAUGCGCAGAUAUCAGGAAGAACACCGGUGGCGAAGGCGGGUCUCUGGGCCGUUACUGACGCUGAGGAGCGAAAGCGUGGGGAGCGAACAGGAUUAGAUACCCUGGUAGUCCACGCCGUAAACGUUGGGCACUAGGUGUGGGGGGCCUUUUCCGGGUCUUCCGCGCCGUAGCUAACGCAUUAAGUGCCCCGCCUGGGGAGUACGGCCGCAAGGCUAAAACUCAAAGGAAUUGACGGGGGCCCGCACAAGCGGCGGAGCAUGCGGAUUAAUUCGAUGCAACGCGAAGAACCUUACCAAGGAUUGACAUGUGCCGGUCGGCUCCGGAGACGGGGUUUCCUCCUUGUGGGGCCGGUUCACAGGUGGUGCAUGGUUGUCGUCAGCUCGUGUCGUGAGAUGUUGGGUUAAGUCCCGCAACGAGCGCAACCCUUGUCCCGUGUUGCCAGCACGUUGUGGUGGGGACUCGCGGGAGACUGCCGGGGUCAACUCGGAGGAAGGUGGGGAUGACGUCAAAUCAUCAUGCCCCUUAUGUCUUGGGCUUCACGCAUGCUACAAUGGCCGGUACAGAGGGCUGCGAUACCGUGAGGUGGAGCGAAUCCCUUAAAGCCGGUCUCAGUUCGGAUCGGUGUCUGCAACUCGACACCGUGAAGUUGGAGUCGCUAGUAAUCGCAGAUCAGCAACGCUGCGGUGAAUACGUUCUCGGGCCUUGUACACACCGCCCGUC